GGCGACGGGCCGCAGGAAGGCUCAUACCAACGGGCCUUAGCAACGGGGCGGAACAGGAAAGUGGGGCUGUUCCCCUCGGAGCAGCCCCUCUCGCUUCCAACGGCAUGGCUCAGGUCUGCCUCGUGCAGAGGGCUUCGUCUGCAAGAGGAGGCUCAACUCCUGCGCAGCUCCGGCCCUGCCCGCAGGAAGAAGUGCAGGUGGUGGUGGUGCUGGGCUUGCUUCUGGGCCCGGUGCUGCCCUGCUUCCCCAUCCCCUGAACCCAGGUAGGGUAUGGCAGAAGAGCCCUGCUGCAGAGGGAAUCUGAGGCCCUGCUGCAUCCCACCAGGACUAGAGAGCAGGUACUAGCAAGGACAAAGAUGAGCAUGACCCAGCAACAAUCACCAGUUCCUUUAGCUGCAUGGACACUCUGCACAUGCAGAGAACGUUUCAGGAGCAGCUCUGCUGGAAAUGCUGCCCUAAGUUUGAAUUUUGCUGCAGUCAGCUCCAGCCUGCAGGAGACUUUGAUCUUUCAGAGCAGAGAUGGCUGGACCCACCUCAUAUGAGCGAAUUGUCCUACCUGACCCUACAGGAAGAACAUCAAGAUCUUGGAAGUGUGGUACCCAAUGAAUCCAUCUCCCUCGUACUGCACAAGGAGAUGGAGCCCAUGGGAAGAGCAGAACAUGCUGCCUUGCUGAAGGGCUUCACCUAGAGUAGACAGAUCCUCUGCUGCAUGGAAAGGAUGUUUUCCUGCUUGCUGAUUGCUGCAGCAUCACCAUGGGCAGAAUUCACCUUUCAUCCAGAUAAAUCAUCACCUGGGCUUGCCUGCUUCAUGGUCUGUAAAUGUGUCCUGUGGUCCUGGUCUCUGCACUUCCUGUCUGCAACUUUGGAGCGGAGUGUGUCUUUCCAGAGCCUGAAAGCUAAACUGUAUUGCUGAGUAACAAGCAGACAGGUGAGAGGAUGGAUAAGGACAGGAGAGCUUGUACUGAGCUUAGAGGAGCCCCUGGCACCAACCAGGAUUGCCAUGGGGCAUUCAGACAUAGAGAUGCAGACAUACAGGACUCCAGCAACGUAUCAACAAAGCAGAGGUCAACUUAUGGUCCUCCAGAGAGACUGUAGGGACCUUGGCAUUGUGUAAACAAACUUCUGGGAUCAGCUUUAAGGUGAGGAUCACUUGGCAUCUCUCCUGACCCCACCAAGGCAUGGGAAAUGUUGGCUGCAUCCUGCUGGCCAUGCAGCUGUGCCUGAUCCAAGCACUUACUGCCACCCAGUAAUGAAAGCAUUUCCUUCAGGUGACAGAUGAGGUCUGGCCCCUUCCUGGCAUACCCUAAGCCAGACUUCAGCAUCUCUCCUGGCCCAGAG
ensembl:lncRNA